rnacentral:rRNA from 1 species
GGGCCCGCACAAGCGGAGGAGCAUGUGGUUUAAUUCGAUGAUACGCGAGGAACCUUACCUGGGCUUAAAUGUUAGAUGCCAUUCUGCGAAAGCGGAAGUUUCUUCGGAACAUCUAGCAAGGUGCUGCAUGGCUGUCGUCAGCUCGUGCCGUGAGGUGUUGGUUAAGUCCCGCAACGAGCGCAACCCCUAUCAUUAGUUGCCAUCAGGUUAAGCUGGGGACUCUAAUGAAACUGCCUACGCAAGUAGAGAGGAAGGCGGGGACGACGUCAAGUCAUCAUGGCCCUUACGCCCAGGGCUACACACGUGCUACAAUGGUAGGUACAAUGAGAAGCUACUUGGUAACAAG